rnacentral:rRNA from 1 species
UGGGGAAUCUUGGACAAUGGGGGCAACCCUGAUCCAGCGACGCCGCGUGGGUGAAGAAGGCUUUCGGGUUGUAAAGCCCUUUCGACGGGGACGAUGAUGACGGUACCCGACGAAGAAGCACCGGCUAACUCCGUGCCAGCAGCCGCGGUAAGACGGAGGGUGCUAGCGUUGUUCGGAAUCACUGGGCGUAAAGGGCGCGUAGGCGGCCCGAGCAGUCGGUUCGUGAAAGCCCGGGGCUCAACCCCGGAGGUGCGAUCGAUACUCUCGGGCUGGAGGCCGGAAGAGGAGGGUGGAAUACCCAGUGUAGAGGUGAAAUUCGUAGAUAUUGGGUGGAACACCGGUGGCGAAAGCGGCUCUCUGGUCCGGUUCUGACGCUGAGGCGCGAAAGCGUGGGGAGCAAACAGGAUUAGAUACCCCCGUAGUCC